UACGUAGGGUGCGAGCGUUAAUCGGAAUUACUGGGCGUAAAGCGUGCGCAGGCGGUUCGCCAAGUCAGGUGUGAAAUCCCCGGGCUUAACCUGGGAAUUGCGCUUGAAACUAGCGGGCUUGAGUGUGGCAGAGGGGGGUGGAAUUCCACGUGUAGCAGUGAAAUGCGUAGAGAUGUGGAGGAACACCGAUGGCGAAGGCAGCCCCCUGGGUCAACACUGACGCUCAGGCACGAAAGCGUGGGGAGCAAACAGG
rnacentral:rRNA from 1 species